rnacentral:rRNA from 1 species
GAUGAACGCUAGCUACAGGCUUAACACAUGCAAGUCGAGGGGAACGACAUCGAAAGCUUGCUUUUGAUGGGCGUCGACCGGCGCACGGGUGAGUAACGCGUAUCCAACCUGCCCAUCACUUGGGAAUAACCUUGCGAAAGUAAGACUAAUACCCAAUGACAUCCCACGAAGACAUCUGAAUGGGAUUAAAGAUUUAUCGGUGAUGGAUGGGGAUGCGUCUGAUUAGCUUGUUGGCGGGGUAACGGCCCACCAAGGCAACGAUCAGUAGGGGUUCUGAGAGGAAGGUCCCCCACAUUGGAACUGAGACACGGUCCAAACUCCUACGGGAGGCAGCAGUGAGGAAUAUUGGUCAAUGGGCGAGAGCCUGAACCAGCCAAGUAGCGUGCAGGAUGACGGCCCUAUGGGUUGUAAACUGCUUUUAUAAGGGAAUAAAGUGGGUCUCGUGAGACUUUUUGCAUGUACCUUAUGAAUAAGGACCGGCUAAUUCCGUG